UACAGAGGGGGCAAGCGUUGUUCGGAAUUACUGGGCGUAAAGGGCGCGUAGGCGGCCUUCUAAGUCGAACGUGAAAUCCCUCGGCUUAACCGGGGAACUGCGCUUGAUACUGGAUGGCUUGAGUUCGGGAGAGGGAAGCGGAAUUCCGGGUGUAGCGGUGAAAUGCGUAGAGAUCGGGAGGAACACCAGCGGCGAAGGCGGCCCCCUGGGCCGCUCCUGACGCUGAGACGCGAAGGCCAGGGUAGCGAACGGG
rnacentral:rRNA from 1 species